CCGGCCGGGCCGCAGUCCGCGCAUGCGCGUCGGCGGGGCGCCCAGCGCCCCGCGGCAGGCUCCGCUCCCAGAAGCGAGCGUUGCAAACUGUUGCAUCAGACGGCAAGCAGCCGCCCGGCCGCCAGGGUUUCUAGGAAGAUAGGAAGGGUUUGAGAUCCUCUGUGGUCGAAUGGGAGCGUUGGCUGUCACUCACGGUGUUUACACGCUGGUAACACAAUCCCCUGAAACCUCAAGCUUGCGCCAGUCCGGGGAGGGCCUUAGCCACAGGUGAAAUUCUCUGAACUCCGCCGCUUCUGCCCCCACCCCACCGCCCCAGGCUGGACCAAGUGAAUUGGACUCGGUCUGCUUUAAUAAUGGCAUGGGCCCUAAAGGAAUGAGCUGGGUUUGAUUUCUCUUCCCAAGUACAAGAAUGCCCCUGAGGAAUUUCUCACUCUGUGAAAGCGCAAAACUAAUUUCCCCAGACAGGCGCUGUUGCCGGUUCCCAAAAGGGCUUGGAAAGAUCCCAGCAGGAAUGCUCAGUGGUUCCAAAUCUCUUCACCCGAGCCGCUGGAUAUGCAGACACUGACCACCAAGAACUUCUUGGUGGGUGGACACACGUCCUUCCCAGACAGGCCUUCUUUUUAGAGUAUCUCAGGCCCCCAUGUUAUGGAGAUUUUGGAAUCAGCCAGAGAAUGCACAACCACGAACUCAUACAGACACAGCACAAAUGUAACAGUUCUCUAGAUUCAAGUGGCUCUGCAACUCAGGUGAGAAAAUUGAAGCACAGAGAAGUUAAGUAACUUGUCCAAAGGCACAGAUUUGACAGGGUCCAUUGGGUGCCAAGCACGAUGACAGAAAAAGACCCCACUGAGGCAUAUCGCUGUGAAAUUUUAGAACCCUAGAGAUGAAGAAAAAAAAUCCUAAAAACUUCUCAAGACACAAGGGCCUCAAGUACAAUGCUGGAAAGAAGAAUUGAUGCAGACAUUUUUGUCUUGUUCCUGACUUUUAAAGGCCUUCUAACAUUUCACCUUGAAGAAUGAUGUUUGAAGAAUGACGUUUGCUGUAAUUAUUUGGUUAAAAAAACUCUAUCAGGUAGGAAGUUUCAUUAUGAAUUGAUGCUGAAUUUUAGCCAAUGUUUUUUUUUCUACACUUGUUUAGAUAAUAAUAAAGUUUCAUUUAUUAUCCAUUAAUGUGGUGAAUUACAUUAUAGCUUUUCCAAUGUUAAAUCACUCUUGCAUUCUUAGGAUCAACCCAGCUUGAUCAUGAUGUAUUAUAUUUUGUACACAUUGUUGAACUCAAUUUGUAGGAUUUUUGCAUCUGUGUGAAUGAAUGAAAUUGGUCUCUAAUUUUCUUGACCAGUUUAAUUUUUUUUUAUAUUCCUCCAACAGAUCUGUCACUGUAGCUAAGUAUAUCCAAAUUAGAAGGCCACCUCAUGGCUUUUCUAUCCCUAACACCAAUGCACUGAUGCCUGAGUACCAACCACAGUAAAGGCCAAACACAGGCUCUGGAGGUCAGCGGUAGGCUGGAAGAAGGCCUGGCUGGUUGUCAAUCCACAUCCCCUUUCUCCCAUCUUGAUUACCAGCCUGUGAUCUACCUUGAGGGUGCAGACCACAUCUUUUCAUCUCUCUAUCCCAAGGGUCCAGCACAAUGCCUGCAGAGUAGCUGCUCAUAAACACUUGUGAAACAGAGUUUACCCAACCCAGUAGUGAGCUCUUCUUGGUUCAUUUGACCUGAUCUUAAAAACUGUUUCUUCAUUGUGGUCUUGAGCCUUUUGGUGCACACACUGCAUGCAUAUUCUCUGUGUCCCAGGACAGACAGUGGUUGGUGUGCAGAUAAGAAUUGUGUCUACAAGGAAUUUCUUUUGACUUCCCAAUUUCAGAGCCUGCCCUACCCAGAGCCCAGAGUCCCCUGAGUCUUGUCCCAUCUGAGUGUUCAUCCACAUUCUUCCUCACACAUUGGAAACUCUAAGUAGGCCUCAUUCUUUAAAGUUUCCAGAGGCCAGUUUGGUCAGUCUGUGCUUGGUGACUGCUGGUUUGAUGAAUGAAUGCAAGCAUGCAGAGAUGGCCCCUGAGAGCCCAGGUGCAACCACUCUCCAGUCGGGCCAAUUGGUCACAUAAUCAAUGUCUGGACACGAUGUUUCAAACCAGGGUAUUCUAUUGCUUUCCUUUAGCUCAUUUAAAUUAAAACAAAACUUUUUAAAUGUUUAUU